GGAGGGAUACCCAAGUGGCCAAAGGGAUCUGACUGUAAAUCAGACGGCUCUGCCUUCGUAGGUUCGAAUCCUACUCCCUCCACCA
rnacentral:tRNA from 2 species